AUCAAAGAAACCGAAGAUCUUUCAAAACCAGUUUCUUACUCAUAUAUUAUUAAAGAUUAUCAUUUUUAUUUUUAAUUAAUUAAGGUUGUGAUUUUUUUUGGGCCUUUUGGAUUCCCGCCGAAUCGUUUAACCGCAUAGUCUUAGGAAAGAAUGUAACUUCUUCCUAAACCCACUAUCUCAAGUUUAUCUUCAAUUUUCUUUUUAUUUUCUUUAAUUUGUAAACCCAUGAACAUUAGGCUCCUCAUUCAAAUAAUCCUAACUUCAAUUCACCAAGAGUCCAAGACCCCUUCACAGAUCUCAAGCAAUUCACCACCGCCGGCGAAGGGCCGACGAGUUCUCCUUCCCCAUCGCUUCUCCAUCUUCUCAAUUUCUUCUACUUUUGUGUUUUGAUUGGAACUUCAAUCGCUACCGCAACCACCGUCUCCACCACCCCGUACAACCACCACCUGUGCCACCAGUUCUUCAGCUCCUGUAAUUUUAGGACCUGCCAUCAUAUCAAUUAGGCCCUAUUUGGUUUAAGGGAAGGGAAAUAGAUUUUAUUUUCCUGCCUUUGGUUUAAGGGAAAGAAAUGAAGGGAAGAGAAAUGAAAUAUAACUGACAGCUUUUAAUUUUCUCUUUCCUUCCAAAUUCCUCCAAUUUUGGAAGGAAAGGAAAUUGAAAAUUUUAUAAAGGAGCUUUCAAUUCCCUUCCUUUCCUUCCACUUCCCAUAUAAUUAUUUGUACCAAAUACAGGAAACCUUAAUUUACCUUUCCUUUCUUUUCUUUUUCUUCCAAUUCCUCCCAACCAAAUAAACCUUAAUCGAAACAACGAGAAUUAUCGUGCACCUGCAAUUCCAGCACUUACAAAAUCACUUCUUGAAGAUGUCAAGAAGAUCUUCAAAACUACCACUGGAACCCCAUUUAUGAACCCCACUACAGAUGGACAAGAAAAGGAGACGAGGAUGAUUUUGGCGAAAAGGAGUUGAAUUCAGUAUAGAAUUUUAGUCAUCCGAACGUGGAUGAAGUGAAAAUGGAGAUGAUGAGGUUAAUCCAUGCGGAAUUCCUUUGUCUCUUACUUGUAAGGAUACAGAUGCAGGAGCAGGAGCAGGAGCAUGAGUAGGACCAGGCGUGACAUUUGUUCUUGAGAAAGCUUCAUUAACCCUUGCAAAUAUUGGAAAAGUACCAAGUACUAAAUUCAAAUGAGCAUGCUGGUUAUUUACGAAAGAAGAAAAUGGAUCCUUACAAAUACAGAGAUGUGAACAGACCUGCCUGACAUAGGCAAUGAGGUUCGUAGGCUUUUCCUAUUGAUCCUUGAACUAGCUGUAAAUGUACUUUCCAUAUGUUGUAUCUGAUCACUGACUGUUUUAGACUUGCGGUAUGGAUACAUUUACAUUAGGGUGAGAAACAAAAAGCAGGGUAAUGGGAGGGUACCUCUGCUGGUCCGGGUGUCGAACGGUAGGAAACGAUAAGAAUGCUAAAUUCGAAAGGAGAAGAGAGUUGUAAGGAUGGAGGGGAAGAAAAAUAAAACUUUCAUUCAAGAAAGGUGACGGACAAAGGGUGGACAUGAAUAGUUGUACUCCCUCCGUCCCGGAAUACUCGACCCGGUUUGACCGGCACAGAGUUUAAGGGACUUGAAUUGACUUAUUUAAUUUAAUAGGUAGUAGUUGAUAGUGGGGUAUUAUUUUAAUGUAGUUAGUGGGAAAUGUGUGAAGGGGUGGGGUUGGGAGAGAGUAGGGGUUGAAUUUUUAAUUAUUUUUUGUAUGGAGUAGGGGGUAGGUGGGUUAAUAGGGGUGGAGUGAGAAAUAAUAUAAUAUUGUUAGAAUAUUUCCAUUUUUAGAAACAGGUCAAAUAUUAAGGGACGGCCCGAUAAGGAAAACAGGUCAAGUAUUCCGGGACGGAGGGAGUAAUUUGUUAUAAUGACGGAGGGACCCUUUUCUACCCACUCCUUUGACAUACUUAGUGUAACGCCCCGACCUCUAAUCCAAUUAUUAAGGCAUAAUUAGCAGCAGAAUUAACCUAAUUUGGUCGGGACAUUACCUGCCGUAACUCCCUCUUGGGAAUUACGAGACAACCAUCAAUCAUAAGCUAUUAAAUCCCAAAAGUUAAUAUAAUAAUCCUUUAUAUUAACGAAAUAAAAAUACAUAACUUACUAAGAGUCUUUAAUUUAACUAUUAAAACAUUAAGCAUAAACUAAGUGAAUAUUAUUCAAGUGAAAUUCCUCGCCACUACUCGUCUCCAUCGUUCCCCGCAGUACCAAAAACAAAAAACAAAAACGGUGAGCCGAAGACUCAGUAACGAACUAUUCUAGCAACGUAAAUUCAUUUCAAUUCAUUUUAUUUAAUAACACAGGGAGAAUAGAAUAAUGUAAAACAUUUUAUAAAGUCCUUUAUUUAAUUCAUUCAUAACUUUAGGGUGCACAUGCUAGCCGUGGCAAGUAUGACAUGGUGGAACGUCUUCCACGAUGGACCGCUGUCCUUAAACAUGGGGCCUUGGCCCGGAAACAUGAGAGCCUUGGCUCAAUGGGCGGAUGCCCCAUGGGUACAUGCAUGACCGAGAAUAGUAACCUGUGAACAAACAUAUACUGCCAAACGGACUAGGUCUUUCACUUUCAUUUAUCAUGUUUCGUUUAAUUUUACAUUUUAGCCUUUUACUUCAGUUGAAGUAACAUAUUUCCUUUGGAUCAUACGAUCAAACAUCCUUUCUUUUCAUGGUUUCUUAUAAACAACAUUUUAUAAGAAAUUCAAUCAAUCAUAAUAUCAUUUUAUAAGAAAUUCAAUUAAUCAUAAAAUAAGGAAUAAUUCCAUCAAAUCAUAUUAUAAUAAAUUAUUCAAUCAAAACAUAAUUCAUUUCCCGCAAUUCAAUAAAACAUGUCAAAGCAUUCAAAUCAUAAAUUCAAUCAUAUUGUCAUGAUUUCAUAAACACAUUUAGAAGGGAAUUGCGGGUACUAGCAAUAGCCGUUACCUUAAUUCCGUGCUACGUUAAGCUUUGUCCUUGGUUCGUUCUUUCUGAGCUCCGAGUCCGAAUUCUUUCAAAAGAUUAAGUUAUUGAAUUAAUAUUAAAACUAUAAAUAUUGUAAAAUUUAAUAUUUUCUAAUAUAACAUUUUUAGUUUAUAAAGUCAUAACUCAAUUUUUUUUAUAUAAUAUUAUUAUAUUCCAUUUGAAAUCAAGUUAGUAACUUAUUUUAGUAGAAGUAAAAUAUAUUCUUUUUUCUGGAAAUAACAAUUAAUUACUAAUAUUUAUAUAAACAAAGGUUGAAUUAUUUGAAAAUAGGAAUAAAAUUUAAAAAGAUUCUGAAACUAAAAAAAAGAUCUUACCAAAGCCCAAGUAGUGAGAAUUGGGCCAGCCCCAACUGUUUUGGGUUUUAAUUAGUCAAAGUUUUAGAAUUUGAUUUCCUGGCUUUGUGAAAAAAAAACGACCAAAGGAGGAGAGCAAGAACAGAGCCGAAAAGGAAGAAGGAGAGGAGGGGGUGGCUGCACUGGCGUCGCUGCUCGGGCAAGGUGGAGGGCGGUGUGGCUGGUUCUGGGCGGCGCAAUACGCUGGUAAUGGUGGUGGCAGGGAGGUGCGGUGUCGAUUGGGGUGGCUUCGUGGAAGAGAGGGGCGGAGGGAGUUGGGCGCAGAGGAGAGGGACGACGAAGGGAGAUGUGGUGGUUCUGGGCUGUUUGCGGUCGCCAGAGAAAUAAGGAGGUGGUGGUGGCGGUAAGUGGUGGCGGCAGUAGGUGGCAAGAGUGGUGGUGGUGGUUCAAUUUAAAAUUACAGUAAAGGUGAGAAAUUUUAUGGAUUUCAAUGGUGAAAAUUGAAAUUGAUUGUUAAUCUGAUUUUGUGUUGCAUUUGGACUGAUUGAGCAGCUAUUUAUAGUUGUAAUGGGGCUCCAUGGAUGCAACAACUCAGCUUGAUUGCAUUGACAAGUGGAAGAGAUUGAAUCAAGGAAAUUGACGAGUAAGAUGAGCUAUUCUAGUUCUAGAUUUCCAGAUAUUGAAGUAGGUUUGAUGAGUAAGGUUUGAAUUGCAAUGUGGUGGUGACAAGUAUAUUGAGUUGCCUUGAGGUGGUGACAAGUAGAAAGUGAAGGUUUUGACUUCCAUGGCCAAAGUGACGUGAGGAAGAAGAAGAGGGAAGAAAACUGACUUUUGUGUUGCAAGGGCAUUUUAGUAAUUUUGGGGAAAAUUUCAGAAUUUAAUUACUAAAUUAAUUUCCGAAAAUAAUAUUUAUAACGUGCAAGUAAUUGAAUUUAUUUUCCGAAUAAAUCGUUAACGAAAACGUACGAAGUAUUUAAAACGUAAUUAUUCUCGAAAAUACGAGAUUAAUAUAAUCUUGAAAAAUAAAUCGUAAAACUUUUGUAAGAUAAGUUUAGUUUUCGAAUAAAGAUAAGAACGUUUCGAAAUUAUUUAAAAUCCGAAAAUAUUAAGAUUAAGCUCGUAAAUAUGAAAUUAAAUUAUAAAAUCUAAAAAUAGUAAUUCGUGUAACAAUAUUAAAAAUUCAAGCGAAAUAAAACUUUGUUAAUUAAAAUAAAGUUCGAAUUUAGGAUUUAAAACGAUUUUAAACUAAAUAAAAAUACUUAAGCAUAAUUAAUCAAGUUUUAAAAAUUCGGGGUAUUACACUUAGGGUAUGUUUGUUAUGAAAAAAUUUAGAGCUGGAAACAAAAUCAAAUAACCAUUUACGUUAUAAGUUGUUUGGUAUGGAGUAUUGGCAACUGUUACCGUUAUUUGAGGGUAAUUUAUUCCAUCAUUUUGUUUAUGCUCUAAACCCUAUGGUAACAGUUAUCGUUUCCCCUCAAACAAAUUGUUCCCCGCCUCCUUUUCUCUCCCUCUCCUUCUUUCUCUUCUCCUCCCCCUCCCUCUCCUCCUUUGAGGUUACUCUGUUGAAAUUCGAUUCGACCUCACGAGUGAUCCGAUUCAUCUUCAUCAAUUUUCCGAUAACAUCGGGUUCGCGUUGCCGGAUCAUUCACAACAGUAUCAUUUAUCGACUAUUUCUUUUCAAUUUCUUUGAUUAUUGAAACGUUUCAUUUUUUGAUUUAUUAGGUGGUAGAGAUGAUAAUAUAUAAACGCCUAUUUAGUAAUCUAUGAAAAAUUCUGCAUUUAGAGAAGUUUGUUAGCUAUGAUUUGAUAAAUUAAUCAUAAUUUUUGGAUUUUGGCGAUUAAUUGGACCUCGUUUUUGGAAGCAGACCAAUUGUUUUUAUUCAAUUACAUUAUUUAAUUUCAUCAUAGUCAACCUCCACAGCCUUUUAGGAUUUCUUGUUGAAUAGUUUAAUUAAAUUUAUUGCACUAAUUUUCUCUGGAUUUUAGUGUUGCUUACAAUACUGUUUGCAACUCUAUUCUCUACAGAUUGAUUUUGCUAUUAUUGUUGUUAUAUCUUCUGCUUCUCCACAUGAAUUUUUGAUAUUGUUGCUGUUAUACCUUAUGCAGAUUGUUGUUUUCUGUUGCAAUGAUUACCAGAUUGCUAAUGAGAAUUGGAGAAAUUUCUGUUGCAUAACUGCUACUGUUGUUUAUACCUUCUCUUCUCUUGAUUUUAAUAAUUAUUAUGACUGAUGGGAUUUUAUUUUUUUAUGUUAUUUUAUAAUGAUUUAUACUAGCUUUCUUAUUUCAUGUUGUACAUAUAUAGAUGUACCAUACACUACAUAAGAGAUUUCUUACCUUAUUACUUAAAUACUUAACAAACAUCAAGUAAGGGAAACGUACAUAAGCGAUUUCUUUCCUAGGAUAUACCAAACGAACAAUAAUGAUAAUAGUUAACAUUACCCUUUCCACUUCUUAUUUGUUUCUAUUCCAUUCUCUUUCCAAAAUUCAUACCAAACACCCCCUUAGACAGAUUUGUAUUGCCUCUUUGAACAGUCUGAUUCUCCUAUUUACUCCUUCCCUAAUGCGAACAUUCCUAUGUGGUUUUAUAUCUGUAGAUCAUGUUAAAAGUCUGGACUUUGCUAAGAAACCCUGGUAAGAGUGAGGAAUACAAUUCUUCCCCGGGGGAGAGGAGUCUUUAGUUGCUGUCAUUGUUGAUUCUAGUAACCUUAAGAUAACCUCAUAUUGUUCUCCCUCCCCUUUUAAUUACACAAUUGACAAAGAGAAAAGUAAUUAAUAAAAAGUAACAAGACAAAAGCAUAAUUGCAACAGGACAAAGCUCUUUAAGGGUUGUUUCGUUUAAUUGGUGUUGCACAAUGCCAAGGCGGUUGUCCCUCCGUUGUCUACUUGCUGCUUCUGUCUUCUCAUUCUCACGUAGGUAUGGAAUGCAGGUGGGUUGGUGGGUUCAUUUCACUCCCCCCUCCCCUUUUCUAACCACUAACACGAGAUAUCCAUAUGUGUAGUGCAGGUGCUACUAUUUCCUAUUACCUGCAUACUCCGCGAUAACAACCAGAACCCAGGUACUUUCCUCAAGUUCCUGUCACUUAUUCUCAAGCGAAGAUUACCGAGACACUGGAUACUCUUGUUACAUAUUUUUUCAAGAAAAAACAAGUUAUAUAUCGUUUAUCAGAUUGACGAAGACGUAGAAAAUGAUCUUUUGGACGUUGAUCAUGCAUAAUUUUUGUAGCUAGUGCAUAUUGAAACUUUCUAACAAAUGUUUUGGGAAUCUCGUAGCAAGUUAAUACAUUUUGAAGUACUUUGGAUUUGAACUUGUGAUUGGAGUUUGGAGAAUGUUAUGUUACAAUAGUUUUAUUUAAUUUAUUGCUUUGGAGAACAAAAAGUUGGUACA